GAUGAACGCUGGCGGCGUGCCUAAUACAUGCAAGUCGAGCGAACGGACGAGAAGCUUGCUUCUCUGAUGUUAGCGGCGGACGGGUGAGUAACACGUGGAUAACCUACCUAUAAGACUGGGAUAACUUCGGGAAACCGUAGCUAAUACCGGAUAAUAUUUUGAACCGCAUGGUUCAAAAGUGAAAGACGGUCUUGCUGUCACUUAUAGAUGGAUCCGCGCUGCAUUAGCUAGUUGGUAAGGUAACGGCUUACCAAGGCAACGAUGCAUAGCCGACCUGAGAGGAGGAUCGGCCACACUGGAAGUGAGACACGGUCCAGACUCCUACGGGAGGCAGCAGUGGGGAAUAUUGGGCAAUGGGCGCAAGUCUGAUCCAGCUAUACCGCGUGAGUGACGAAGGCCUGCGGGUUGUAAAACCCUUUUGUUGGGAAAGAGAAGCAGCAGGUUAAUACCCCGCUGUUCUGACGGUACCCAAAGAGUAAGCACCGGCUAACUUCGUG
rnacentral:rRNA from 1 species